GGUCAAAAAGUGCACAAGGAGCCGAUUCUUCACUGACUGAAUGGAUCCUAAGACGCCUAUCAGCUGGCGGUAGCUCAACAGCUUAUGAAGAAGCCAUUCCCAAGUCCUUCUUAGUCAGCGCCGAUCAAGUCCAUGCCUGUCAUCCAAACUAUUCUGAUAAACAUGAAGACAACCACAAAGUCGGCCUCCACAAGGGUCCUGCAAUAAAAUUCAAUGCAAAU